UGAGGCGUGGUCCCCUGGUAGGUGAUUGACA
rnacentral:piRNA from 1 species